UACAAUGCGGGAAACCGUGAUAAGGGGACACCGAGUGUCAGCAUCAUAUGCUGGCUGUCCAGGUGUGUAAAAUACACCUGUUAGCAAGGGCCGGGCAAGACCGGUGCCAGCCGCCGCGGUAACACCGGCGGCCCGAGUGGUGAUCGUGAUUAUUGGGUCUAAAGGGUCCGUAGCCGGUUUGGUCAGUCCUCCGGGAAAUCUGAUAGCUCAACUAUUAGGCUAUCGGGGGAUACUACCAGACUUGGAACCGGGAGAGGUAAGAGGUACUACAGGGGUAGGAGUGAAAUCUUGUAAUCCCUGUGGGACCACCUGUGGCGAAGGCGUCUUACCAGAACGGGUUCGACGGUGAGGGACGAAAGCUGGGGGCACGAACCGGAUUAGAUACCCGGGUAGUCCCAGCCGUAAACGAUGCUCGCUAGGUGUCAGGCAUGGCGCGACCGUGUCUGGUGCCGCAGGGAAGCCGUGAAGCGAGCCACCUGGGAAGUACGGCCGCAAGGCUG
rnacentral:rRNA from 1 species